GUGGUUGCUAGGAGCUGUGGGGGAGGGGGAAUUGAGGAGUUAGUGUUUAAUGGAGAGAGCUUCCAUUUUGCAAAGUGAAAAUGUUCUAGAGUUGACUGUGAUUGAUGGCUAUGCAGCUGAGCAGGUGUGCUCAAGGGCCACUUAAACAUGGGCAGGAUGCUAAACUUUCUCCUGUGCAUUUUCACACACACACACACACACACACACACACACACACACACACACACACCACACACACUUCCAGGGCUAAGUUCAGCUGAUAAAACGCUUGCCUGCCUCUGUGGUACUUUGAGACUGUAUCCUCUGAACCCCCUACCCACCCCCCCCCAACAUUGCCUCUUGCUUUUUUGGGUUCCUUUCUUGGCUAAGGUGUGAGCAAGUACCCCUAUCUCCCGUCUCCCCUCCACAUUUUUGGUUCCAACCAAUCCCCUUCUAAACUAGUUGUAAAGCCCUCCCCAUCCGCCCCACCUUCUGGGCACACUGCUGCUUUGGGAAGUUCUGACUGGUCUUAGAGCCCUCUGUUAACAGAGUACAUUUCCACUGUGGGUUUGGCCUCAUCAAGAGGGAAACAGUCUCUCCCUUCUGGCUCCUGCUGGUCUCUGACUGUUGGUCAGUUUGUUUUGAGGCAGGGAGGAGAGUGGGCAUAGCAGAGACGUCUGACACAAAGGCGCCCCUCUGUUCCCCUAGCACUGUUGGAUGCUUGGUGGGUGGUUCUUGGCCACAGCCAUUCCUCCUCCUUCCUCACUGCCAGCUGGACCUCUGUCCCCUCUUAUCCAGCAGUGCCAGCAACUACCGUGAAAGGACAGUUCUUCACUGAGAGCCAAGUGGAGCCUUCACCCCACCCAUUCUCAGAGAACCUUCUUAGUCUAGGGCAUAUCUGUAGUGCCAAGGGAUUGUCUCUGUGAUUUGGGGUGAAUUUUAACGUGAAUUGACAUAGGAGACCAGUCACAGAGCCUGGCUUUCUUUGUGGCUUCUGUUCUCUACCUGAGAUCUCUUCCUGGAAACCCAGGCCUUAGUGUUGGGCUAAGACCUACCGUGUCAGGUCCUCUACUCAGGAGCCCUGAGAAGCUUCUCUAAUCUUCCCAGGCAAUCACUGACAGAAGAAAGAUUUGGCAUCACUCCAGUCAGUUACUGGGACACAGAGACCCUGACUUAUCAGCUUCUUUACUUUUUAAAACCAACUGGACUGCCCCACCCCCACCCCACCCCCCUCAGGACUCAUUUCUGAGGGUGAGGAUUUAGCCCAGCUUGCCUGACGUGCAUGAAACCCUGAAUUCAGUCUUCAGGUCCAUGUAAACUGGCCUGAUAGCAUGUAUCUCUAACCUCAGUAAGGGCGAGAUGGAGCAAGUCAGUGAGAAGCUCAAAGUUAUCCUUGGCUACACAGUGAGUGCAAGGCCAGCUAGGGAUGGAUGGGACCUUGAAAAAAAAAAAGAAAAGAAAGAAAGAAAAGGCCCAGUAGGGAAUUUCUCUGCAAUUCAGAUUUUAAACCCUCUCAAAGACCCGCACAGCCUUUCUCCUCCGCAUCCAAUAGCAGCUGUGUAAUUUUCUGGGACUUUCCCAAAUGUUCCUACUGAGUCUCAAAGAGGGUUAGAAAGUUAAGGAGAGGCUUUUCCCAGACACACACCCCUGAGGUUGGCCCGGGUGUGGCCGGAGUUAAGUAGAUUCUUGGCAGCACAUGUGUGAUGUUGGCGUGUGGGUCUCCCUGUACCUGGAUUACAGUGAUGUCACACACAGUCCUUCCUGUGUUUGUAUGUUCAGAGGGGUCAGAGUACAUCCCUGCCCUGUCCCUCAUGCAAGUUUCAUUCCCAUCUCCUUGCAGGAGUGCUGGAAUUGCGGAGAGAAGCAACUGCAUCUGACUUUAAAAACAAAACAACAGACAAAAACCAACCAAACAAAACCAUGAGAGCAGGCUGAGCAGUCACAAAGAGCAAGCCAGUAAGCAGCACUCCUCUAUGACCCCUAGACCUGUCCCUGUCUCCAGUCUGGCACUGAUGUCCCUGGAUGAUGGACUGCAAGCUUCUCCUCCUGGCUGCCUUCGGAUCAAGAUGUAGAACUGCCCUCCAACACCAUGUCUGCCUGGAUCCUGCCAUGCUUCGCACUGUAAUGACAAUGGACUGGACCUCUGAAACUGUAAGCCAGCCCCAACUAAAUGUUGUCCUUUAUAAGACUUGCUUUGGUCAUGGUGUCUGUUCACAGCACUGAAACCCUGACUAAGACACUAGGUAUGAAACCCUGUACUCACUGGGGCUUCGUGUCAACCCACAACUGCUGACAGCUUAUGGGAGGGGCUCAGUAAAGAAAUCACAGAAAUGGCUGGUCCGUGAUUAGAUGGGGAGUUUUUUUAUUGUGUGUAAGAAAGAGAAGACAUCCAGAGGCUAGAGUAGAGAGAAGGUGAGUCGGACUGGAGAUGGUCAACACUAGGGACGUGGGGGAUGCAGGGUUAUAAGGAGAGCGAUAUCUGGGGGAAGGCCUGGGAGUUUAGAGUAGGAGAAGAGGUUAGAAGGGCCAGGAAGCUAGUGUGGGACUUUGAAAUAUAUAACAGACACUUGUGAAUGGGGACUGUGGGAGCCUGGGGGCCAGUGUGGGCUUUGAUAUGCAACCCCAGGUAUAUGUCAAUGGUGAGGCUUUGUCUCUCUGCCAGAGGCAGAGGGAAAUGAUUCCUUUGGGAGGAACCUGUUUCACAAGUUCCUCAGACAUGCUGGCUUUUUAUCUAACUGCCAGAAAUCCUUCUGUAGUCCCCCUUGAGCUAAGCCAAGGCUGUUAUUUCUGGACAUACGCACUUCCUGAACCCUAACGACAGUCAUUAUUGGUUAAGAAUUAUGGAGGGAAGAGAAUACUGCACCCCACAGUUUCAUCACCCCCUUUUCCCUCCCUCCCUCCCUCCUUCCCUCUCUUCCUCCUCUUUCCUUUCUUUCUUUUUGAGAGGGUCUGACUGUAUGUAACACUGGCCAUCUUAGCAACUCAUCAUGUAGACCAGGUUGACCUCGAACUCACAAAGAUCUACUUGCCUCUGCCUCCCGAGUGCUGGGAUUAGAGGUGUGAGUCACGACUCUUAUUUCAGGGCAGUGGCACAUAUGAGGGUUCUCACAGUCACUACGGAGGCCAGAGAGCUAUCGGGAAUCAGUUGGCAUUGCUUCCUCUCAUCCUAUCCCUGUCCUGGUAAAGCAAAGAACCAGAGGUGGGCUGGAGAGAUGGCUCAGUGGUUAAGAGCACUGACUGCUCUUCCAGAGGUCCUGAGUUCAAUUCCCAGCAACCACACGGUGGCUCACAACCAUCUGUAAUGGGAUCAGGUGCCCUCUUCUGGUGUGCAUGAAAACAGCUACUGUGUGCUCACGUAAAAUAAAAUAAAUAAAUAAAUCUUAAUAAAAAAUAGAAUAGAACUGGAGAGUGGUAACAUGGAAUAGCCUUGCAGCUCAGGGAUUCAUAUGAAUGCUCACUGAAGCAUUAAUUGUUUAAAGUAACAAUGUGUCAACAAAUAGGUCUAGUUUUUAAACUUCUGUCAUAGAGAAAAGGUGCCCUGUGGCAUUAGCUAAUAAGUUACAAUGGAUGACAAGGGAAACUAUGGAGUCCUAGGAUCCAGGUUUCUCCUUCUUCCUUUUUGGAUAUUCAAUGUCUUUCCCACUUUUUCAGGCCCUUGGGCCAGUUCCUUUUGUCUCACUUCUCCUUCUCUGCCACAGAAAACAAGCUUGUAUCACCUUUAUUAGUUUUGUUGUUGUUCUUCUCAGCUCAUUAUACCUGAGGGGUUUAGCACAGUGAUGCACACUGUAAUCCCAGGCACUUAAGAGGCAAGUUCAAAGCCAGCUUGGUUUUACAAAAACCCUCCCCUUGCCAGCAAGAUGCCAGGAUGUGGAUCUUGCUUCUAAAAGCUCCUUUGCCCCACUACUCCGUGCUGCUACACUUACUUCCCAAGUACGCGAGUAUAAUCCCAGCAGGCUGGAAUACUUUCGAUUGGCUAUAGGCGGUGUCUGAGUGGUCAUGUGGUAUCCCUGUAACAUUUUACAGGCUCCGCUGAGGCCACUGGA